rnacentral:rRNA from 1 species
AUUGAACGCUGGCGGCAGGCCUAACACAUGCAAGUCGAACGGUAGCACAGAGGAGCUUGCUCCUUGGGUGACGAGUGGCGGACGGGUGAGUAAUGUCUGGGAAACUGCCCGAUGGAGGGGGAUAACUACUGGAAACGGUAGCUAAUACCGAAUAACGUCUUCGGACCAAAGUGGGGGACCUUAGGGCCUCACACCAUCGGAUGGGCCCAGAUGGGAUUAGCUAGUAGGUGGGGUAAUGGCUCACCUAGGCGACGAUCCCUAGCUGGUCUGAGAGGAUGACCAGCCACACUGGAACUGAGACACGGUCCAGACUCCUACGGGAGGCAGCAGUGGGGAAUAUUGCACAAUGGGCGCAAGCCUGAUGCAGCCAUGCCGCGUGUAUGAAGAAGGCCUUCGGGUUGUAAAGUACUUUCAGCGGGGAGGAAGGCGAUGUGGUUAAUAACCGCAUCGAUUGACGUUACCCGCAGAAGAAGCACCGGCUAACUCCGUGCCAGCCGCCGCGGUAA